ACGGGAGGCAGCAGUGGGGAAUUUUGGACAAUGGGGGAAACCCUGAUCCAGCGACGCCGCGUGGAGGAUGAAGGUUUUAGGAUUGUAAACUCCUUUUGGAGGGGAAGAAUAAAUUGACGGUACCCUCAGAAAAAGCCACGGCUAACUUCGUGCCAGCAGCCGCGGUAAUACGAAGGUGGCGAGCGUUACUCGGAAUUACUAGGCGUAAAGCGUAUGUAGGUGGUUAGAUAAGUCUAUGGUGAAAUUUCCUGGCUCAACUGGGAAGGGUACAUAGAUACUGUCUGGCUUGAGUGUGUGAGGGGGAGACGGAAUUCCUGGUGUAGCGGUGAAAUGCGUAGAUAUCAGGAGGAACACCGAUGGCGAAAGCAGUCUCCUGGCACAAUACUGACACUGAGGCACGAAAGCUAGGGUAGCAAACAGGAUUAGAUACCCUGGUA
rnacentral:rRNA from 1 species